CGUCUGGUAGACGGAAGACCAACCGCCUAUGGCCCGUUAACCGUUCCACCCGUCGUCGACAGGGGCUUCGCUCACCUUCCGGCCCCGUUAGGGCGGCCGUCCACUGAAGGUGAGAUUUCGUCCAAUGGGGACGGAGCGGUCAGCCCAGGGCCGGAUCUGUGGGGGUCCAAGGCCCAUGGGUGGCCGACCUUGGUCCACGCAGACCCGCCUUCUCAGGCCCCAACGGCCGUCCGUGGCAUUCGAGUGGCCGCCAUUCUUCUCGCCCAGCCACACCCGACGUCCAAAGGUGCCGCGUCCCCGCUGGCCGGGCGGGGGCUGCGCGUAGGCUGCGCAGAGUUGGGCCAGGGGAGUGGGCAACCGGCAAGGUCUGGGCUCCCAGAGGCCGCCGCCAUCGGCGCCCAAGGUGGGGGUGGGGGUGGGGGUGGGGGUGGGGGUGGGGAGAGGCUCGCGGCUGCUCCACAGUCUGGGCCUGGCUGGUGGGCAGCCGCGGCGAGGGCGCUGAGUCUCUACGAGUCAGAGCCCGCGCCCUGUCCCCGGGCCCCCCAGUUCACCCGCCGGCCUGAGGCCGGAGGGCCUGGAGGGCCCGGACGGCCCCGGGAUAGACCGCCGCGCUGCGCUUCUCACCUCGCUUUCUGCCGGAACUGACUUGGCAGUUCUCUUCGCUGGCGAGAGAAGAGCGGAACCGGAAGUGCCUUCGCGCCGGGACCCGCGAGCGGAGGUUCCGGGACUGAAACGUUCCGGCAGGGGCAAGGAAGGCGUCACGUGGGGUCAGGCGGCCCUCCUGGCUUGCUUUUGGCAAUGAUAAUCGUUACCCGCCGCAGAAUUCUGUGAACAAGCGAGCGUGCGUUAUUUCUCGAUUCUGUCGUUUUCCCCAUUUUGGGGUAAGGAGGCUCUACAUUUUUCAUUCAUUCACCAUUUAUCUAUUGGCACCUACUAUGUGCCACGUAAACACUGGGAAUGCAGCACUGGAGGAAAAAAAACGAACAAAAAUUUCUGCCCUCUUGAAACUACGUUCUAGUAGGGAACAGAUAAUCCUUCAAAUGCAUAAAAAAGCAGAUAGCGAAAGUGCUAUGGAAAAAUAGAAAGUUGAGAAGGGGAAUAUUAAGUGUGAGUGUGGAAUGUUUUAGGUGGUGGUCAAGUGACUUUUGAGCAAGAAUCUGAAGGAGGUGAAGGAAUGUGCCAUACAUGGGGUUGUGUGGAAGAUCCUUCCUGGCAAUGGGGGUGGGGGAGCACAGCCACUGCACAGGCCCGAAACCUGAAGCAUAAGGCCUGACCUGUCCCAGGAACAGCAAAGUGGUUGGAGCAGUGUGAGCAGGCAGGAAUGUAGAGGUUAGGCCAAGAAAUGCAUGUGAAGGAGGGAAAAAGUAAUUUGGUGCUUUCUUUCUAAAUGAAAUGGGAACCGUUGGAAAGUUUUGAACUGCAGCAUGGAGGAAG
rnacentral:lncRNA from 1 species